AGUGAACGCUGGCGGUAGGCCUAACACAUGCAAGUCGAACGGCAGCACAGUAAGAGCUUGCUCUUACGGGUGGCGAGUGGCGGACGGGUGAGGAAUACAUCGGAAUCUACUUUUUCGUGGGGGAUAACGUAGGGAAACUUACGCUAAUACCGCAUACGACCUACGGGUGAAAGCAGGGGAUCUUCGGACCUUGCGCGAUUGAAUGAGCCGAUGUCGGAUUAGCUAGUUGGCGGGGUAAAGGCCCACCAAGGCGACGAUCCGUAGCUGGUCUGAGAGGAUGAGCAGCCACACUGGAACUGAGACACGGUCCAGACUCCUACGGGAGGCAGCAGUGGGGAAUAUUGGACAAUGGGCGCAAGCCUGAUCCAGCCAUACCGCGUGGGUGAAGAAGGCCUUCGGGUUGUAAAGCCCUUUUGUUGGGAAAGAAAAGCAGUAGGUUAAUACCCCGCUGUUCUGACGGUACCCAAAGAAUAAGCACCGGCUAACUUCGUG
rnacentral:rRNA from 1 species